GUUUUCAUGAAAGAACUUGAAUACACAAUUUACUUGACUAGAGAUUGCCGUACAAUUAAUGCAAAUCCUGAAAAUUUAAUAUUGGUCUGUUUUUCAUGCAGCCCUUGCUUACCAUCGAUGUCUGGGAGGUAAAUACACACUUUUAUACCAAAUCCAGUGCUUUUCUUUCUUACAAGUUGAUUGAUAAUUUUUGUUUUCUUUUGGUAAAUGGAACAGCAUGCUUACUACCUUGACUUCCAGGUAACAGCUUAUUCAUAAUUGUUAACAAAACGGUUUAUUUCAGUUUAUUUGUUUUGUUGAUUGUUGUAAUCUAUUUGUAUAUGAGCAGAACCGAAGACCAGAUUACAUAAAGACAUUCAUGACCAAUCUUGUGUCUUGGGAAGCUGUGAGUGCCAGACUUGAGGCCGCAAAGGCUGCUUCUUCCUCUUCUUCUUAAGCAGAGUUCUGAACAAUUUGACUUCAGUGAGUUCUGCACUUACUGGAGUUUUUUUUUUUUAAAUAAAGUAUUGGUCGUUGUAAUAAGGACACAGCUCUCUUGUUCUGUGUCACAGAGUCCUUGAUCUAGGUCUUCUACCUGACUACCUGUGUCAUGAACAAUUACCAUGCUCUUUCUGUGGUUUUUCUUUUGUGUGUGUGUGUGUGUGUUAAGUUUUUUCACCUGUUUUCC
rnacentral:lncRNA from 1 species